CAUGAAUGACCUUCUGCUAAAAUCGCGCAUAUCCUGUGCGCAACACAGAAGUCAGCACAUCCCGCGCA
rnacentral:sRNA from 1 species